GAAGAGCCUCGCAGGGGUGACCCUGGCCGAGCACAAAGGAGGUUCCAGACCCUGGUGCUGCUCAGGCCGUGAAGGUCUUUCUUUGUUCCUUCCAUUUUUGCUUCCCAUCAUCUCCUCCAGCGAAUCCCACAUGGAACCAGCACUGGGAAGCGACGUCUACUCAGCUCUAAAGGAGUUAAUCUCAAACUUCUCCCAGGGUUGGUUUGGGAUUGGCCUGGAUCCGUGUUUUCCUGCUUGAGCUUUACUUUGUAAACAUGGUGCCUUUUAAUGAGGGAAAGCAGCAGCUUUUGUGGAGAGAGACCCAGACAGCUCAGCGGGAUCGCUCCAGCCUGGGGACACUAACUCAUCAAUUUUUAAUUCUGGAUCUUGGCAGCACUGGUUGAAUUAGAAACAGAACAACUGAUUUUAAUGAGUGCAAGAUUAAUGUAGAUGAACUUGGCUGGAACGAUUGUCUCCCCCCAACUCCCAGCUCCCUCCUUGCUGGGCUGUCACAUCCCCAGCAUCACUGGAGCAGGGAAUAUUCUCAUCACAGCUCUUCAAGGGCAGGAGAGAUGCUCAUUAACCAGCCUGGUUCACUCAGGAUGUUUUGCUCAUUAACCCCUGGCAGCUGCUCUGGACCCUCCCCAGCCCUGCAAGGUGCAAGGGAAGGAGGAAGGUGAGGAUGAUGUGCACGGGCAGAGCAGAAACCUCCCUCUGGAUGGGAAGGAGAAGAUUUUUGGCUGUUGUGUGAGGCCACCACAGCUCCAGGAAAGGUUGUGAUCCACACCUGUUGCCUCUCCCUCUGUGGAGAGAUGUUGUUUUAUUUUCAGGUCAUAUAAACAGCAGUUACUGAUAAGAGAGAGCCCAGGACAUCCCUCACUGGGCUGAGCUCUCCCACUGCCCCACAUGAGCUCAGGGAUUUGCUUUCCUACAGACCUGGAAUUCCAUAUUUGGAGAGUGAGUGGUUUUAUUACCAAGGAAAGAUAGGGGAGGCUGAACUGGCCUAAUUCAAUUUGAUUCUGUGGGCAACUGGCAGUUUUAUAUCCCUCUUUUAUUUUUUUAUGUGUUUCAAUCAGGUGGUGCUUGCAGAGAUCACAGCGCUGUGGGUUUAACCUGCCUGGGCUCGGGGGUGAAUUGGGCAGGAGCUGAGUGUGAUGAACCAUAAACAAUGAGCAUUCUCCCAGGAAAGCAGCAGGGAACUGGGGAGGAAAAGGCUGGAGCAGCAGCUGGUGAGGUCACCCAGUGAUUUCUGUCCAGUUUUACAGGGACCUGCCCAACCUGUGGCAUUGUGACCAUGGAAAAGCCACGGAUGGCAUCAUGUCCUGCUUCAGCAUCCCACCCUCAGAGUGGAAGGAGGAGCUGUGCAAGAAGCUUCAGCAGCCCCCAACCCAAGGGUUUCAUGGUGCCUGCAGGACCUUCUGCAUCCUGUGGGGAUUAAAAGAUGGGACAAAGCAGUGGGAACAUGGAUGCAGGUGGAGAGGAUGUUACUGUGGGUCUGUUCAGCAUCCACAGUUGUUCAGAUCCUGAAGGUCCAGCAGUGAAAUCUGUGAGGGAAAAGGGUACCUGGGGUAAAAGGCAUCUUGUCUGGAUCUGGGUGUCGGCCACCUGCAGCUCUGUAGGAGCAGCGGUGUCAGGACGGGGAGCAUCCAUCCCAGAGUGCAGUGGUUCCAGCUGCGCCUUUUGGAGGCCUGAUUCCCAAAUAUCAGCUUCCCCUCUGUGCUCACAGCUGGGGCACCCAGAGAUGCCCAGUGCUGGGGGCAGCACUCAGGAUGAGUCCUGGCUCUGGUGCCUUGGGCUCCACCCCUGUGUGCCCCAAAACUGCCUGGGCAGGGGGAGCAGUGUCAGGCUGGCACAGGGCAGCUCUGGGGGUGCAUGGCACGAUCUCCUCCAGUGAUUGGAAGAUUCAGGGGUCUGGAAUCACCAAACCCACAGCUUUUCCUCAGCUGUGUCCUCCUCACCAGUGUCCAUCUCCCCAGCCUGGCCAGGGCCGGUGCUGUGCUGCUGACCUGGCCAACUGGAGAUGUCAAGAGAAGUCUUUUUUUUUGGCUUUUUCCUAUUUUCAGCUUGUUACAAACCGUUGUUGCCUUCCCAUCUGCCAGCUCAGGACAGCAGCGCUGCUUCAGCUCGGUGUCACCAAGGAGAGCUUAAAUACUGUCGUUAAAAAAUCCCAGUCUUGCAUCGUCUUCUCAGACACACAGGAAGAAACCUUUGCAAUUAAAUUCCCUGUGCUCCAGCAGGAGGGCAGAAGUUCCUCCUUUUUUCCCCCCUUUUUUGUGAUGAUGAUAUUCUGGGGUUUUAGAGCAGCAGGGGAAAAAAAAAAAAGCCUGUUUGAUUUUCCUCAUUAUGUUAAGCCUGGUUUUACAUUCUGAUUGCCAAAGCAUGAUAAAUGGAACACAGAUUACCUAGAGAUUUUCAAAGGUUUGCUUUCAAUUUGAUUUUUCCUGAGCCUCAUUAAGCCUGCAGGUUUUAUCUACACUUUGUUCUUCCAGUGGAGUAACAUCACCAUAUAUUAAUAGCCCUAUAUUUUUUUUUCCAUUAGAAAUUAAAACCAGAUAGAGGCUUCUUAUGCUUUGCUUUCAAAUCCUAUUUUAAAAAAUAUUGAUCAUGUGUGUGUGCUGUUUUUCCUCUCCCUCUGACCCUGCUGGCUCUGUAAAGGACAUUCCCUGGGGAAAUGCUUUCAGUCAUGGAUCCCUGGGCAUUGCUGGGUGCAGUUUCGUGGAUUAAGGGGUGUAUUUUAGAAGGUGUAAUGCAUAGAUGAUAAAAAAAAGUGGCUUCCAGCAGAGAGGCAAGCAAGAAAAGUAAGAUUUAAAAGCAGGAGCUGUAAAAUCAGGGAGCACAGAGGAGCUUAGACAGGGUAAGGUAACCCUUGGUGUGCCCAGGUGCAUCUUGCAGGAGUUAAUGCCAUUGGAGGAGCUCAUCCUCCAGGAUUUUAGGAGAAACAGCCCAAAAUCCAUGACUUUAGGAGAAAUGGCUGAGGGCCACCAGGCACAGCCUGAGUGCUGCUCCCUGGGAGAGGUUUGGAGGGUGGCAGGGACCAGGCGAGACACACGGGACACACACACACAAAAGCCACCCUGGCACACCCAGUGUGUUCCUUCUGCCGGAGCCAGGAACACUAAGCCACCUUCGGGGCUUUCCAGGGGUGCAUCCUCCUCUUUCUGUGCCCAUCCAGAGGCCUUGGGGCAGCUCCAAGAUGUGAUGGAAAGGUCUCGCUGCACUGGUGUGGGAAGCAGCUUCCUCAUGAGCAUCAGGAUGGGGUGGCAGUGCAGGAGCUGGCUGCAUCCUGCGAGUCCUGGGGAAGGUGCUGGGGAUAAAACACCCAAGGCAAUGCUCUGGUGAUGCCCUGAACAGGAAACACAGAGUGGGGUGAGAACAGAGCAUCCUUGGGGUGCCCCUGCACCAACCCCAUGGAGCUGGUGCAGAGUGAAGCCCCUCAUUCCCAGAGCUGUCUCCAUGAGCUGAGGCGCUUCUCGGGAUGUUCUGCUCCAGACAUGACCCCGGGAGCUGUGCCUGACCUGGGAACAGCUCUUUUGGAGAGGUUUCCUGUCAUUCUUCCAGCCCCUCUCGCUGAACUCUAAUAAAAACUCAGUGCUUUCUAUUUAUAAACGAGAGCAGCACCAAGGAGCUGAGGCCACCACGGCCCCGGUGCUCCCAGCCCAGCCCACGCUCUCACCCUCAGCCACGGAGCAUUUCAUCUCCACUGCCCUUCCAGAGCCGCAUCCUGCAUGGGAAAGGGCAUUUCCCAGGCCUCUUUCCUUUCAUUUGUUUUACCCUUUGUUUACAAAGAGAAAGUUUUCUUUUUAAGAACAGGGAUUGUUUUUGCAGCAGCUCCGACCCUGCCUCAUAAACCAAACAUUUCCCAAGCCCUCCAUGGCUCAGGAUGAUGCCGCUGUCACUGGAAUGCCAGUGUGAAUAUCCAAAAUGUGUUUCUUGGUGGAGCCUGGGGGUAUUUGUACUCUGUGUCCCCAGACAUGACACAGAGGAGCAAUGGGGCCUUGUGGCUGAGCCAGGGGGAUGUGGCCAGAGCUGGGGCUGAGUUGGGGAGGGAUUUGUGUUUAUUUUAAUGUGUUGGAGCCCAGGGCCAGCUCUCACCAUCCUGCAGCAGGGGAGCAACCCCUCCACUUCUGCUGGGUUGGCUCAGGCUGAGGCUCGGGGCAGGCUGAAAGUGCUUUUGCUGCUUCCAGUGUGACAGGGACUGGACAUGGCUGCUGCUUCUGGUUUUACCCCAGCGUUGCCUCUGCUCCCCUUUCCGACAGCACCAGGCCCUGCACCUGCACUUCUGACAGAAUCCAGAGAGAGUUUUCCCCCAGGAACGUCCUCUCACUAUCUCCAUUCCAUGCAGGAUGGCAGAUUUGAUGAAAAUGCUCUGAUCUGUUCUGGCAAAUCCUCUGUUCCUAAGUAGAUAAUAACCAGAAAAUCUUCCUAAAUAAAUCCUGG